GACGAACGCUGGCGGCGUGCCUAAUACAUGCAAGUUGAGCGCUGAAGGUUGGUACUUGUACCGACUGGAUGAGCAGCGAACGGGUGAGUAACGCGUGGGGAAUCUGCCUUUGAGCGGGGGACAACAUUUGGAAACGAAUGCUAAUACCGCAUAAAAACUUUAAACACAAGUUUUAAGUUUGAAAGAUGCAAUUGCAUCACUCAAAGAUGAUCCCGCGUUGUAUUAGCUAGUUGGUGAGGUAAAGGCUCACCAAGGCGAUGAUACAUAGCCGACCUGAGAGGGUGAUCGGCCACAUUGGGACUGAGACACGGCCCAAACUCCUACGGGAGGCAGCAGUAGGGAAUCUUCGGCAAUGGACGAAAGUCUGACCGAGCAACGCCGCGUGAGUGAAGAAGGUUUUCGGAUCGUAAAACUCUGUUGGUAGAGAAGAACGUUGGUGAGAGUGGAAAGCUCAUCAAGGGACGGUAACUACCCAGAAAGGGACGGCGAACUACGG
rnacentral:rRNA from 1 species